rnacentral:rRNA from 1 species
UGGGGAAGUAUUGCACAAUGGGGGAAACCCUGAUGCAGCGACGCCGCGUGGGUGAAGAAGUACUUCGGUACGUAAAGCCCUAUCAGCAGGGAAGAAAAUGACGGUACCUGAUUAAGAAGCCCCGGCUAACUACGUGCC